UACGUAGGUGGCAAGCGUUGUCCGGAUUUAUUGGGCUUAAAGGGCGCGUAGGCGGCUUUGUAAGUCAGUAGUGAAAUACCCCAGCUCAACUGGGGGGCUGCUACUGAUACUGCAUGGCUUGAGUACAGAUGAGGUAGGCGGAAUUGACGGUGUAGCGGUGAAAUGCAUAGAGAUCGUGAAGAACACCGAUGGCGAAGGCAGCUUACUGGGUUGUAACUGACGCUGAUGCGCGAAAGUGUGGGGAGCAAACAGG
rnacentral:rRNA from 1 species